ACAGAGAGCAGGUGUGACUGGCGACUCUCACCCUGUGCCUUGUGGGGAAGCACCUUGAUCCAAAACCCAGCUCCAUAUCAAUCUGUUUUUCUAUUUUAAGAGGCCCAGAGGAUAGACCAAUCGCAGAGGAACAACAACUUUGCUGAACUGCUCGAUCACAGUUGACAUUUUG